CAUCUUCCUGAAUCUUAGGGUUGGACUGAAAAAAGAAUCAUGGUAAAAUAUCCAAAACCCUCAAGUCUGUCCCUGGUAACACAGGAAGGUAGAUAUUAGAGAACUGAUGUCUAAUGGGACUACAGAAACACAUUCAAUAGUUCAUGUUGUCCUUUGUUUUCCUGAUGUCUGGUAAUUUUUGGAUAAAAUGUGGAUUUGGGAGUUUAUCAUUGAAAUGGGAACACAAUACUUACACUGUUAUAAUGACUCUAUAACUGGGCCCACUUUUGUUCCAAAACAAUUGCAAAAUAAUGAAAUUGGAAAACGGAAUUGUUGAGUAAACAUUCAGAAAUAUAUAUAAAGUUCACUAUCAAGGAAUGUAAAAUUGGAAAAUGUAGUAAAAUAUUCAUUCAUUUAAAGGUCUGUAGGAAAAACACUGGCCAUAGGAAACAGAGAAAACCUAGAAAAUUGAUUUGUAUGUCACAGAAAUUGACUGGGAUUAAAAAUAUUAUCUAGAAGAAUCUCUUCCCCUCCAUGUUCCUAAUUUUUUCUACCAGUAACAAGCCCCUGACUAUCUCCAUUCAGAAUAUGUAACCACUAAUGAAGCAAAGAGAUGUCUCUAGGUUUAGAGAGAUGUAUGUAAAGGUUUCCACUGUGUCACAGGAGACACUCCUGGAAAGGGCACCCUCUAAUCUGGUCAAUGUAAGGAAAGCUGUUUAGCAGGUAGGACAAGGCAGUUCUCAGUCACAUCACCAUUAAGACCUCAACGAAAAAUCUCUUGUAACCUGGAGAGUAGUAGAUUCUUCUGUGAUGUCACAAGUGUUGUCGUGACAUUAACUGCCUCUCAGAUAUUCCUUAAGUACCUCUACCUCUAGGGUUUACUAAUUGGCCUAUAAUUCAAAGUAAACAGCCAUUUGUGAGAGAGAAGAUCAAGGAGGAGGGAUAGGGAGAAGGAAGCUGGCCUUCUGUCUUGGUAUAAAAAGAACAAAUAUGUGCUCCUUGGUAAAGCUCAGUGAGUCCUGCUUAGGGGUUGAGUGUGUUCCUCAAAGAGAUAGCCUAUAUCAUAGCCUUCCACAUAUAGGAAUCAGUAGCUGGGAGCCUCUCAAAGUAUGUAGACUUCCCUGCCUAUUAUGGUUCCUGGAAGUUAUUGAGUUUAUAUCAUUAAUUUCUUUAUUCUAAAAGCUAAGUCUUGGGAAGGACAAAGUAGUUUUCCUGAGAGCUCAAGGCUUUUCUUUGUGCCCAGAAUAAAAAGGUGCUAAGGAUGAAGGCAAAGGCAAGUAUUGUGUCCUCAGCUCAGUGUAAACUCCUCCAUGCUUUGGAUUCCUUUAGUGCAGUUUGUGUCUGAAACUGAUAUCUGGGAAGGAGAAUUGCUUCUAGUGGAGACUUCAUCAUCUCACUCUUUUCACUACUAUUACUCUGAGUAGCAUUCCCUAACAGUUACCCUUAAGAUUUCUGAGUCAGUAAGUUUUUAUUCCUUUUCCUUCCUUUAUUUUUUUUUUCAGGAAAUUUUAAUGAAUUUUUAAUCGGAUAUUUCCAUAUUUACACUUCAAAUGUUAUUUCAUUUCCCAAGUUCCUUUCCAUAGAGCUUAACUAGUAUCCUCCCCUUUUUCUAUAAACUCCCCUUACUGCCCCUUGUCAUUCUCUUUAACUGGGAGUCAAACCCAUGGAGUACAAUCGGCUUCUCCUUACAUUGGUGCCCAACAAGGCCAUCCUCUGCCACAUAUGCAGUUGGAUCUUUAGGUCUUUCCAUGUACAGAUUUGAAUAUUGGUUUGAAUGAACCAGAAAGCUCUGGUUCAUUGGCAUUGUAGUUCUUAUGGGAUUUGAAAUCUCCUUCAGUUCUUGUAAACCUUUCUCAAAAUCUACCAACAGGAGGUCUGGAUCAGUGCACUGGUUUGCCACUGGAAUUCACUUCUGUAUUUGACAUGCUCUAGCUAUGUCUCUCAGGGAAGAUCUAAAUCUGUUUCCUGUCAGCAUGUACUUCUUAGCUUCAUCAAUCCUAUAUUCAUAUCAAUCUUAUAUUCUUAUAUUCCUUCAGUAUCUGCUGUAAACUCAUAGAUAUUUUCCCCCUUCUAAAACGGACUGAAGCAAGCAUAAGUUGGGUUCCUUUUCUUGACCUUCUAGUGGUCUGUGGAUGGUACCAUGAGUAAUUUGAGCUUUUGGGUCAAUACACACGUUUGGUGAUUGCAUACCAUGUGUGUUUUUCUGUGAUUUGUUUGCUUCACACAGGAUGAUAUUUUCUUGUUCAAUCCAUUUGUCUAUGUCUUUCUUGUAAUCAUUGUUUUAUAGCUGAUUAGUAGUCCAUAGUGUAGAUGUACCAUAUUUUCUGUAUCCAUUUCUCUGAUGAAUGCCAUCUGGGUUCUUUCCAGCCUAUGGGUAUUUUAAAUAAGGUUGCUAUGAACAUUGUUCUGUAUGUGUCUUUUUUUAUGUCUUCUUUUCGGUAUAUGCCCAGGAGUGGUAUGGCUUGGACCUCAGUUAUUGCAAUGUCCAAUUUUCUAAGGAUCCUGCAGACUGAUUUCCAGAAUGUUUGAACCAGUUUGUAAUCCAACCAACAAAGAAGGAGUGUUCCUCUUUCUUCACAUCCUUAUCAUCAUCUUCUGUCUCCUGAGUUUUUUUAUUACAGUCAUUCUGACUUGUGUGAGGUGGAAACUCAGAGUUGUUUUCAUUUACAUUUCUAUGAUGACCAUUUCUUUACGUUCUUUUCAGAUAAUUGAUUUCCUUCAGUUGAGAAAUCUUUGUUUAGUUCUGGAACAUAAUUUUAAUAGGGUUAUUUGUCUCUCUGAAGUCUAAAUUUUGAGUUCUUUGUAUGUAUUGGUUAUGGCCUUCUAUCAGAUGGAGGAUUGGUAUAGACCUUUCCAAAUCUGUUCCUUGCGGUUUUGUCCUAAAAGUGUCCUAUGGCAGGCAGUUUUCUACUACAGUGAAGAACUGUCAGUUAGUAAACUAAAACAAGGACUGGCUCCUUACUGACUUCCCUACGUGUUCUGAACAGUAGAUGGGGAAACUAAACAACCAUGUUAUACCCCUACAAGGCAUGCCUAUCUAUAGUCGUGGAUCUAGAGAGACCUAUCAGAGAUUCUGGGCAUCUGUCAAAGAAAUGUAGGCUGGUGAAGUUUGCAGUUUUCAUCCUGGUUUCUGUAUCUACAGGGUAUGGUGUUGUGAAGACAAGAAACCACAUGUGCAGCUGUGAAUAAGUCUGAGAAGGCUGACUUCUUGGAUUUCUGAAGCAUUACUAAGUGAUCCAGAGGAAAUCAGCACGCCCUGCUCAGCAGAGCUCUGGGAAUGCUGACACUCUUGCUUCAUGUUUAUAUUAACCUAGGUCAAAAGAUCACCUGUCAGGGUCUCCGGGUAAGGCAUCAUCCCAACCUUCCAGCAUCAGUGAGCAAGUGCAACAGAUUAAGAAGUUGGAGAAAUUGACUAAGGAGCUCCAGAAGAUGACAUAUACCCUACAAUAAAGAAGAUACCAUCACAGCUUCCCAUCCUCCCCAGCACUGAAGAAAGAAAAGUUUUACUUUGUCAUGGUUAUGGACAUAUUCUUGUUUACUGGGCUCAGAGCUUCAGAUCUGAUGGAGGGAGACUAUGGAAAUGGAAUCUCCUUUGGAGGAAUCUGCUUACCUUGUAGGAAUGGGGAAACAGAGAGCAAAAGUAAGAUGUUGUUCCACGACUUCAUCCCUUGCUAAGAAAAAAGUGUCCUUUUCACAGCUUGGGAACUGGGUAAGCAGUCUAAGCAAGCAUGGCUAACAAGCCAAACCAGAUGGGUAAACAUUUGUCCAUUGGAUACGAAGGGGGAGCAUUUAAUUGACUAUGCUGACUGUAUCUCCUGUCCACUGUGUUCUAAUCCCAUGCAAGGAAAGUUCGGUGGAUUUUGUCUGUCCUGUGUCGGAACAAUAGUGUUUUCCAUUCUGAAUGCUUUUUCUUCACUGAUAUGAACCUUGAGAGAACAGUGGGAGCCAUGGAAAGCCACAGCCAACAACAUUCUACAUUCUAGAAUAUCAAGGCCUUCUCAUAAGAAACACUUUCUUGUAGUUGUGAAUUCAGCAGGGAGGAAAAUUACAACCAACCUCUGAUCAAGCAGCAUAAAAAUUAGCAUGAGAUAAAGAAAGACUUAAAAAUGAGUCAGAUCUCUGAUACAUAACAAUAAGUGGACCCUGGCACUGUCACAAAUAACAUUAAGGUUAUUUUGUUGAGCAAGAGUUACUCUCCUGGAGUCCUCAGAUGUUCAUAUGUGGUUGAAAAUCUGUCACGGAAGACUGUAUUGAUAUCAUACUCUAAUCCAGAGAGACCAUACAAAAAAGUAUAUUAUUCCUUCUGGAGUAUUGGUUGAAAUUAAUUCACAUCACACAUUUGUAUGUGAGGCUUAAAUUAAUGUUCUACAUAGACAAAAGCAUUAUCUCAAUCCUUGCCUUUGUAAUUUGUUUUGUUUUGUUUUUUUUUUUUAAUUUUGAAAAUGGCUUAGUAUUCUUCAGUUAAACAAUUGAACUGAAGUGACUGUUCCUCAGACUGUAUACAUAGAGAACAUCUGAGUAGUAGUUGACAUUUUUAGUCGGGGCGUCUCCCCAUGGAUCUGUUUGUGCCUGAAUAAGCAUGCAUAGACUUAUUUCAGUUAAGGGAAUCAUGUAGUAUACAAAAAAUUAGAGGAUCCAUCUGCUGUAAAUAUUUUCUUUUACUCAGGUGAAGGAAGGUUUAUCAAAGCCUGUGUAUCAAAGGUUGUAGAUAUUACACCAUCCAUAGGAGAUAAUAUAUCAAGAAAGAUUCUGCAGGGAUACAGAGAUUGACCUAAAUAUCCCCACACAAUUCUAAGCCAGAACGGACAAGAUAUCACUUCACGUGGAAAUUUAAAAUAAUCUGAUGCUAUGGUAUGUGGAGUGUUUUAAAGAAAAACCACCUAAAAAGCAUAUGCAUAUAUAGCAGAUGCUAUUCAAAAAUAUCCAGAGGCAGUUUGGAACCUACAUUUAGCACAAAGAGAUUGAAUCCCCACUUCACAGAUACUGAAUAGAACCACUGAGUAUUAAGAAAUCUAUAUUAGAAAUCACUUGCCUAUCACAUGUCUGUAUAACUAGGUAGUCACAGCAAACAUGACAUUCUGAAAGCAUAACUUGAACUUGUCAACAAUGGAGGGAGUGCAUGUAGUGAAUGAGGUUUGGGCAUGAAACUCAAAAGUCGAAAAUAAUACCGAGAUUUGAGUUUUGAGGACAAUAAAUACUUAAUGACUUUUGGGACAAAAUUUGAAUCUAAAGACUCCAAAAAUUAUUUAUCAAUCAGCUCUGAAUCCCUAUGGAGAUUGGUGGAUAUUAUGAAUUUAGUCUGUGCCCCAGAGGUAUAGGUAAAUGGUGUAAUUUGAAGUGAUUAGGUAUGCUAAAGAGGCAUACAAAACUGAGGAGGCCAUGGUAUCAUUGAAUAAGUGUGCUUCUCCAAAACGUAGCAUGAUUUUUUGUGGAGUGACCUAGACACUAUACACACACGCGCAUGCACACACAUAAACACACAGAUACACACAUACACACAUACACACAAACACACACAAACACACACAAACACACACACACACACACACACACACACAAAACCCACAAAUAAUUGACUUCCUCUGUGCUGUGUGUGGCAUGCUGGAAUUAUCCAAGAUAUGAAGAGUAUUCUCCACAAGUAAGUUAAACCCAAACUCAAUGAAAAAUUUAGAAUUCCUCCUCCUUUCUUGAGAAAGCAUUCUGUGCAUGAGUAAUGCUUACAUUUUAAAGUUUAAGAGGGAUGACUUGAAAACAGUAACUACUUAAUCCACGUUGAAACAGCAUUUCAGAGAUGUGUAGUGAUUUAAUUUUGAUUUUAUGAAACUGCAAUUGCUCAGGUCUCAUGAUUGCAGUAUUGAACCACGUCAUUCCUAAACAUAACUGUAGGGACAGUAAGAGUUUGGAGAUUUCUUCAAGUUGAAAAACCUCAGAAAUCGUAUUAGCAACAACUUAAUUCAAAAAUGGAGAAACUUGUGCUUGGGUAAGGUCCUAAGACUGAGCAGCUGGUUCAAAGCCAAGGACAAACAUUGCAUGUAACCAAGGACUGCUGGGUACAGAACCUGUUACUAAAAUGGAGAAAGCUAAAGUCUUCAGGAAAUAUGGAUAAGGAAGACUUGAAAUGGUAGAAAUAUAUGCUAUAUAUUUAGUGGUACACACUGAGAGGAUGAAUUUUUGAAAUGUUUAUCUCCUUAGGAGUGUAAACAUUUGAGCUAAGUAAAUGCUGUAGCCUAGGUACGAAAGGGAAGUGAGUUUCCAUUCAGACACUGGAAUUACCUUCAUGCCGAACUUGAACAUGGGAGGGUUUCAAAGAAAUGUUGAAGCACAUCAAGAGCUUCUGAGCAUCCAGGAGGAGUCUGAGAGGAUUAAUUUGUUCUUGUUAUGAGGGAUUUUCUAGUUUAUUGUUGGAAAUCCAUCAAGAGAAGUUCAAAGUCUAGAAACCAAAUUCUAUACAAGUCUCAUAUUAGCUUUGGAAGACUGUGACCUGUAAAGACCUCAAAAAGGCAUAGCUAGAUUCACCUGCUAAAAUGUAUUACAAUUGGUGACUGACUGCCUUUCCACUAUGUU